GUUUGAUCCUGGCUCAGGAUGAACGCUGGCGGCGUGCCUAACACAUGCAAGUCGAACGGAGUUUAUAUUAUGAAGUCUUCGGAUGAAUUGAUAUAAACUUAGUGGCGGACGGGUGAGUAACGCGUGGGUAACCUGCCUCAUACAGGGGGAUAACAGCCGGAAACGGUUGCUAAAACCGCAUAAGCGCACAGCAGCGCAUGCUGCAGUGUGAAAAUAUUUUAUAGGUAUGAGAUGGGCCCGCGUCUGAUUAGCUAGUUGGUGAGGUAACUGCUCACCAAGGCGACGAUCAGUAGCCGGCUUGAGAGAGUGACCGGCCACAUUGGGACUGAGACACGGCCCAAACUCCUACGGGAGGCAGCAGUGGGGAAUAUUGCACAAUGGGGGAAACCCUGAUGCAGCGACGCCGCGUGAGUGAAGAAGUAUUUCGGUACGUAAAGCUCUAUCAGCAGGGAAGAAAAUGACGGUACCUGACUAAGAAGCCCCGGCUAACUACGUGCCAGCAGCCGCGGUAAU
rnacentral:rRNA from 1 species